rnacentral:tRNA from 1 species
GUAAUCUAAGGUAACUGUAAAACCAUAUCACUUCUAAGGAUGUGGUCAUUGGUUCGAAUCCAAUAGGGCGUGCCA